rnacentral:rRNA from 1 species
GACGAACGCUGGCGGCGUGCUUAACACAUGCAAGUCGAACGGAAAGGCCCUGCCUUUGUGGGGUGCUCGAGUAGCGAACGGGUGAGUAACCCGUGAGUAACCUGACCUUGACUUUGGGAUAACUUCAGGUAACUGGGGCUCAUACCGGAUAGGAGCUCCUACUGCAUGGUGGGGGUUGGAAAGUUUCGGCGGUUGGGGAUGGACUCGCGGCUUAUCAGCUUGUUGGUGGGGUAGUGGCUUACCAAGGCUUUGACGGGUAGCCGGCCUGAGAGGGUGACCGGCCACAUUGGGACUGAGAUACGGCCCAGACUCCAACGGUGGGCAGCAGUGGGGAAUAUUGCACAAUGGGCGGAAGCCUGAUGCAGCAACGCCGCGUGCGGGAUGACGGCCUUCGGGUUGUAAACCGCUUUCGCCUGUGACGAAGCGUUAGUGACGGUAAUGGGUAAAGAAGCACCGGCUAACUACGUG